rnacentral:tRNA from 1 species
UGGGGGUUCGCCAAAUUGGUAAGGCAUUAAGUUUUGAUCUUAAAAUAUACGGGUUCGAGUCCUGUACCUCUAG